UGGGGAAUUUUGGACAAUGGGCGAAAGCCUGAUCCAGCAAUGCCGCGUGUGUGAAGAAGGCCUUCGGGUUGUAAAGCACUUUUGUCCGGAAAGAAAUCCUUGGCUCUAAUACAGUCGGGGGAUGACGGUACCGGAAGAAUAAGCACCGGCUAACUACGUGCCAGCAGCCGCGGUAAUACGUAGGGUGCAAGCGUUAAUCGGAAUUACUGGGCGUAAAGCGUGCGCAGGCGGUUUGCUAAGACCGAUGUGAAAUCCCCGGGCUCAACCUGGGAACUGCAUUGGUGACUGGCAGGCUAGAGUAUGGCAGAGGGGGGUAGAAUUCCACGUGUAGCAGUGAAAUGCGUAGAGAUGUGGAGGAAUACCGAUGGCGAAGGCAGCCCCCUGGGCCAAAUACUGACGCUCAUGCACGAAAGCGUGGGGAGCAAACAGGAUUAGAUACCCUGGUAGUCCACGCCCUAAAACGAUGUCAACUAGUUGUUGGGGAUUCAUUUCCUUAGUAACGUAGCUAACGCGUGAAGUUGACCGCCUGGGGAGUACGGUCGCAAGAUUAAAACUUAAAUGAAUUGACGGGGU
rnacentral:rRNA from 1 species